rnacentral:rRNA from 1 species
AUGGCGACUCCGCCGUCGCCGCCGCCGCCCACGCGCGCCUCCUGCGGCUCUUUACUCCAGGAACUGCAGGAACUAUGGGGAGAGAUAGGCCCGGAUGAACUGGAAAGAGAUAGGAUGAUCUUGCAGUUGGAGGAGGACUGCCUCAAUGUUUACAGGAAGAAAGUUGAACAAACUAGAAAGCAAAAGGCAGACCUGCUUCAAGUGAUGUCCUUGGGCGAAGCUGAGAUAGAAAAGAUACUUUCUGCUCUGGGAGAGCGUGAAUCCUUUUCUAGGGUGGAGAAGCUUGGGGGUACAUUAAUGGAACAACUUGCAAAACUAGAGCCAGUUCUGGAUGAUCUGAGACGGCGGAGAGAUGAGCGCAUAAAUGAAUUUUUGGCUGUUCAGCUGCAUAUAGUUCGUCUACAAGCUGAGAUUUCAGGAACUAUUAAUCAUGGGGAUCCUGCAGCUCCUUUAGUGGAUGAGACUGACCUAUCUACAGGAAGACUGGCUGAACUGAAAACCCAGCUUAAUGAGCUCCAAACAGAAAAGAAUCUCAGACUGCAAAAGAUUGAUGGUCAGAUCAAGUGUAUUAAUGAAAUGUGCAACAUGAUGUCUCUUGAUCUUAAGAAGACAUUAUAUGAAGUUCAUCCCAGCUUUGUUGAAUUGGAAAGAAUCAAAUCCAUGAGUAUAAGUGAUAGCACACUUGAUAGGCUUGCAGGAAAACUUCACGCACUAAAUCAAGAAAAGAAACAGAGGCUGCGGAAGCUACAAGAUCUUGGAAGCACACUCAUUGAGUUAUGGAGUCUAAUGGACACACCAUUAGAUGAACAGAAAUGCUUUGAUCAUGUUACCUCUUUGAUUUCAGUCUCACCCAAUACAGUGAUGCCCCAAGGAUGCCUUGCACAUGACCUUAUUGAGAAGGUAGAGGUUGAGGUCAAGAGGCUGAAGCAUUUGAAAGCUAGCAAAAUGAAAGAGCUUGUCUUAAAGAAAAUGACUCAGCUUGAAGAAAUCUACAGAAGUGUUCACAUGCAUAUUGACAGCGAUCAUGAGUGGCGGAUUCUCACCGAGCUUAUUGAUUCUGGUAGAGCAGAUCUCUCAGAGCUGCUUACAGAUAUGGAUGACCGAAUUGCAGAAGCAAGAGAUCUUGCUCUAAGCAGAAAGGACAUUCUAGAAAAGGUGGAAAAAUGGACAUCAGCAACUGAAGAGGAGGGUUGGCUCGGUGAAUAUGAGGGGGAUCAAAAUCGCUAUAAUGCUGGUCGAGGAGCUCACAUAAAUCUCAAGCGCGCGGAGAAGGCAAGGGUAUUGGUCAGCAAAAUUCCAUCCCUGCUGGAGAAUUUGACUACUAAAGUUAAUGCUUGGGAAAAGGAGAAGGGCAUGCCAUUUAUGUAUGAUAAGAAGAGGCUUUUGGAUAGCUUAGAAAAAUACACCUCUGAAAGACAACAAAAGGAAGAGGAAAAACGUCGAUCACGGGAACUUAAGAAACUACAAGAACAGUUUGCAGCAGAACAAGGUGCGCCAUAUGGAGCAAAGCCUAGUCCUAUGCGCCCGCUUUCGGCAAGGAAACCUCUUGGGCAGAGUACUAAUGUCAACAUUGUUGGUGGAACUCCUAACAGCCGGCGUGUGACUACCCCAGUUUCACGCAAGGGAGGCUUGUCUUGUGGAAAAAUGAAGGAUACUGGCAAGACAGCUGCUUCUAUACCGGCAAAUUAUGUUUCUCUUCCCAAGGAUUGCUCAGACAAUUCUUACAUGUGA